ensembl:lncRNA
CUCCUCAGUCCGGUGAGACCUGUUCCGGCUCCACGUACGAAGCCUCCAGUGAUGAUCCAUGGCCCGAAGCCUCCAGUGAUGAUCCAUGGCACAAAGCCUGCAGUGAUGAUCCAUGGCACGAAGCCUCCAGUGUUGAUCCCCAGUCAAGAGCCUGCAACGACGAUCUACGGUCCGGAGGUCCCGGCAACGAUCCCUGCACCGGAGGCGCCACCGAAGUGGGGGGAGCCUCAAGCGGAGCGGUGUCUAUGUCCAGCACCGGAGCCCCCACCGAGAGUAGAUGCCCACCCGGACCCCCCCCCUAUAGGUUCAGCUGCACAGCCCCCACAGUGCGAGGCCAGGCCAGGAGCACAGCUGGCCAGACAUGGUGGAGCCAGUCGACAGGCGCAUGGAGCG